UAGAGUUUGAUCCUGGCUCAAGACGAACGCUGGCGGCGUGCCUAACACAUGCAAGUCGAACGGAACUGUUUUGAAAGAUUUCUUCGGAAUGAAUUUGAUUUAGUUUAGUGGCGGACGGGUGAGUAACGCGUGAGUAACCUGCCUUCAAGAGGGGGAUAACAUUCUGAAAAGAAUGCUAAUACCGCAUGAUAUAUCGGAACCACAUGGUUUUGAUAUCAAAGAUUUUAUCGCUUGAAGAUGGACUCGCGUCCGAUUAGUUAGUUGGUGAGGUAACGGCUCACCAAGACCGCGAUCGGUAGCCGGACUGAGAGGUUGAACGGCCACAUUGGGACUGAGACACGGCCCAGACUCCUACGGGAGGCAGCAGUGGGGGAUAUUGCGCAAUGGGGGCAACCCUGACGCAGCAACGCCGCGUGAAGGAUGAAGGUUUUCGGAUUGUAAACUUCUUUUAUUAAGGACGAAAAAUGACGGUACUUAAUGAAUAAGCUCCAGCUAACUACGUGCCAGCAGCCGCGGUAAUACGUAGGGAGCAAGCGUUGUCCGGAUUUACUGGGUGUAAAGGGUGCGUAGGCGGCUUUGCAAGUCAGAUGUGAAAUCUAUGGGCUCAACCCAUAAACUGCAUUUGAAACUGUAGAGCUUGAGUGAAGUAGAGGCAGGCGGAAUUCCCCGUGUAGCGGUGAAAUGCGUAGAGAUGGGGAGGAACACCAGUGGCGAAGGCGGCCUGCUGGGCUUUAACUGACGCUGAGGCACGAAAGCGUGGGUAGCAAACAGGAUUAGAUACCCUGGUAGUCCACGCUGUAAACGA
rnacentral:rRNA from 1 species